rnacentral:rRNA from 1 species
GACGGUACUUGAUGAAUAAGCCACGGCUAAUUCCGUGCCAGCAGCCGCGGUAAUACGGGAGUGGCAAGCGUUAUCCGGAAUUAUUGGGCGUAAAGCGUCCGCAGGCGGCCCUUCAAGUCUGCUGUUAAAAAGUGGAGCUUAACUCCAUCAUGGCAGUGAAACUGAGGGGCUUGAGUGUGGUAGGGGCAGAGGGAAUUCCCGGUGUAGCGGUGAAAUGCGUAGAUAUCGGGAAGAACACCGGUGGCGAAGGCGCUCUGCUGGGCCAUCACUGACGCUCAUGGACGAAAGCCAGGGGAGCGAAAGGGAUUAGAUACCCCUGUAGUCCUGGCCGUAAACGAUGAACACUAGGUGUCGGGGGAAUCGACCCCCUCGGUGUCGUAGCCAACGCGUUAAGUGUUCCGCCUGGGGAGUACGCACGCAAGUGUGAAACUCAAAGGAAUUGACGGGGGCCCGCACAAGCGGUGGAGUAUGUGGUUUAAUUCGAUGCAACGCGAAGAACCUUACCAGGGUUUGACAUCCUGCGAAUCUCUUGGAAACGAGAGAGUGCCUUCGGGAACGCAGUGACAGGUGGUGCAUGGCUGUCGUCAGCUCGUGUCGUGAGAUGUUGGGUUAAGUCCCGCAACGAGCGCAACCCACGUCUUUAGUUGCCAGCAUUUAGUUGGGCACUCUAGAGAGACCGCCGGUGAUAAACCGGAGGAAGGUGUGGAUGACGUCAAGUCAUCAUGCCCCUUACAUCCUGGGCUACACACGUACUACAAUGCUACGGACAAAGGGCAGCAAGUUCGCGAGGACAAGCAAAUCCCAUAAACCGUGGCUCAGUUCAGAUCGUAGGCUGCAACUCGCCUACGUGAAGGAGGAAUCGCUAGUAAUCGCAGGUCAGCAUACUGCGGUGAAUACGUUCCCGGGCCUUGUACACACCGCCCGUCACACCAUGGAAGUUGGCCACGCCCGAAGCCGUUACUCCAACCCUUGUGGAGGAGGACGUCGAAGGUGGGGCUGAUGACUGGGGUG